GCCGUCUGCCCCUGUUGGGCUCACGCCAUCCGAACUUAUUGACUGUGCAGCAAGGUCAGAUGCUGAGCGGCGUAAUAGGGGAAUUGUUUGCCGCCCCCUGUAUGCAUAUGCUAGGUGCAUAAGGUUUGCACCUGUGUUGAGGGGUUGUUACCGCCUCAAGAGGGGUUUUUACCGCCUCAAGUGAUGCAUCGAGGUACUUGGGAAUAGUACCUGGAGGUACUCAGGAGUAGUACCUGGUAUAAGGCCUUGGUGUGUGUGUGGUCUGUGUGUGUGUGUGUACACAGUGUGAAUUGAGUGUUACCGGAAGACGCCCAGAGUACUCUGCGAAGUCUUUUGGCUCGUGACCAGAACUACUCUAACGCAAGCCCGGUAACUAGAGGAUCUUUUAGGAGAUCCGACCCAUGUAGGUUGACUCGGCCUGGCAUCGUCCGGCGAGGAGGCUACCUGGGUCUAGGAGUGUGUGCACCCAUCUUCCCUCCCCUUUUCCUCUCCGUGUGAGCCACUGACAGUCUGAUCAUCUCACUGGAUGCAACAGAGUAAGCGGCGCCGUCUCUCUGAGACUAGCCGACGCUCUUUGCUGAAGGGAGGUGUAGGAGGGUCGUGGCCAUCCUCGUUAGUCUCUCCUGUGUGAAUACCCUGUAGGGAGAGAUCCUUAGUUUAUGUGCCGCUAGCGCGGACAGGGCAUCCUCCUCCCUGUGUGUGUGAUUGGAAAAUGGGUGGGGGACAGUCUAAGGAUUCCCUCUCACCCACUAAGGGUACCCCAGCUUAUUUCAUGUACGUACAUUAUGGUACUAAAACCUGCAGGUAUUUAGAGAAUUGGAAUCAUUACACGCGUGAAAAUUCAUCUAAACAAUGCCCACUAGAAGGUACCUUCAAUCUAGAUAAGAUCAUACAUCUCAGAGGAGCUUUUAAUCACAAAAAAGCCUCUGACACAAAUGGGAGCAAUUUGUCUAUUGAGGAAAGGAACGGGUUAAUUUGAAAUUCAGCUUGGUCCAGAGAUAAAGAGAAAGUUAAUCUGCGUUCAAGGUCAAGAAUCAAUGCAGACCAGACUAAGUAUAAAGAAAAACUGCUUUCGGCCCCAGCUGACUGUGAAAAAAUAUAGACAUAGUCAAACCAAAGGCAAUACAAGUUAAAGUGCUGAGAUUACAUUUGCAAAGCUUAACUGUCCAGUGAGAUCCAACAGUCUGCCUUUGCGACCCUGGAGCUGGCGUGGUUUGGGGAAGCUGAAGAAGCCACAGGCAGCCGGCCUGGACUGGAAUCACUGAAAAGACGCCCCAGGAGACCUCAGGGUGUAAAAGAACUGCCCUCCCAAGAGAGGAAGCAAGUUGGAGAUUGCACAGCACCUUCUCUGAACGUUAUACACAGACGUGGCCAGUCUGGACGUACGUGUGUGUUAGGUGUGUGGAUGGAACUGAGCCUCUCAUUCGUAAUUCCUCAGAGUGGAAGCCAUCGCGUGCAAUGAAGCUCUGAGGUUGAAUUGGGAUCCUUCUGUCCCGUCCCCUGUAGCGGUCAGUAUUAGUAGAAAUUCCUGUAAUAGGAUCCUAUUAGGCCAUAAUUCCCUCUGUUCUCUGUGUAAUUCUCUGUUAGAGUGUCAGCAGGCAGAUGGGUGGGUCUCUGGUAAAACUCUCUAAGGAUAGCCCUUUGGAUUAUAUGUUAAGUAAAUGGCCUUUACCCGGUGUUCAGGAAAGAAUAAAGAUUUGAAUUUGUUUUUGGGUAACAAAAUAGCAGAUAAAAGAUCUGGUAAAAAGAGAGAGAAGGACAGUGCCCCUGGCUCUGUGUGGUCGAACUGUCACUUUACUAGGGGUGCAUGGAGAUUUUGUAAGCACAAAAGAAACAGUUACACCUUGUGUAGAAAUUGAUGUGGCUAGUGUUGUGGAAAUUGAAUUGUGGAGAGGAUGUGCAUUUUCCCCAGAACAUGUGCAGUGUAUAUUGUAGCAGAGGUAAAAGAAAUGCAAACCUACCAAUAUAGGUUGUGUCGUCUCUUUCAGAUCACUGGGUGUUUGAAAGCAGGAGUUAGAAGUAAAAGGCAAUCAAAAGUCUGGGAAAGUUAAUUGUGACUUUUUACAUAAGAAUUUUUAAGCUGUGGAUAGCUUUGGAUCUGGAAGCAAGCCAGAAAGCAUCUGUAUUAAUGCAAUUUUCUAACUAAUAAGGUAGAAGCCACUGAAACCUGGGCUGCCUAUGAAACAAAUACAAAGAAAUAUGGGGUAAUUCCUCUGUUUUGUCUAAAAUCAACAAGAGUAUGUGUGUAUAUAAAGGAAAUAUUUUAAGCAAUGACUGACUACCCAGAAGGGGUAGACCUCUGUUCUUUUGUCUUUCAGAUCAUCAGAGAAAACGGAUGCCAGCUGAACAGCAUUCAAUGUACCAUGCAUUUACUGGUACAAUAGGAAUUAUUUUUGUGUUCUUUGUCCUGUCUUGUGGUGUUUGUCUUGUGGCCAGAAUUGUUGGGUUUAAUAUUUUCAUAAGACAGUCUAGUUCAAAAUUAAAUAGAAGGGUUAAAUCAAAAAAAGCAGAUACUUGUUUUAUUCAACUUGGAAUACAAAAAGUGUUUGGAUAAAUCAGGAAAAUGUGAUAUACUAAAGUGUAAUACAGUUGCUUAAGUAAGAAAAAAAAAAAAACUUCAUUGGCCAGAUUUUUUUUUAAUUGAAAAAAAUUGUUGUUAAGAGUUGCAUACCAACAGUCUUUGGAAGCAAGGACAUGGAAGGUUAACCCACUCCCCAUAUUGCCCAUGGGAUCCUUCUGGCUACCUCAGAUUUCUAGCCAGAGGGCUGGGGAGGGAGGAAAGCUAUUGGACACCUGAGGUUGUACUGAGUGGACUCCUCAAAAGUGGGUGUGCUUGUCCUGGCUUGUUGCUCCAAAGCUCUGUAAUAAAGUUAUUUUACUGGAAGGGUGUACAUGGCAUACAUUGAAUAAUAAGACUAAUGUACUGUAUAAUGGCAAUGUGUAUGUGUUCAUUGUUGGGAAAAGAUGUAUAAGUGAAGAGUGGAAGUUUCCUUUGUAGGUUAAAAGAAGCCAAGAAGGGGAGAAGGAAAAAGAACAGAAUGAGUUAACUGAGAAAAAAUAGCUAGCAAGCUCAGUCCAAAGAUAAGAUGCUGGCACCAUCCAAGGACACUGCCCACAGCUAAGACUUGGCUGAUAGCCAAGAAAAGGGGGGCCUGAAUGUGCCCAAGCAACUAUGAGAUCUGAAAAACACUGCCAGGCAUUAAUGAAAUGUGUUAGGUUUCUUUUCUCACAGAUAAAAGAAGUGCUACCCAAAGACCCUAGCAGCCCUGCCAUUCAUUGAAACAAGGAGACUGAGUCUACGUAAAGUCUAUCAACGAAAGACUGCUUUGGCUCCACACUGGAAAGGCCCUUUCCAAGUCCUGUUAACCACCACCACCACUGUGAAGUGCCAAGGACUACCUGCCUGGACCCAUGCUUCUCACUGUAAAAAGACCCCUCCACCUCGGGAGGACUCUCCGACUGAUGAUAAGCCUAUUUCUCCUUCUAGCUCUGCUGUGUCUUCUGGACAGCAGGAAAAAGAAAGAAAGAAAAAAAAAAAGACAAGGUGAAGUGCUAGUAACCUCUCCCUUGUCCACUGACAGACCUACUGUGCCUCUGGAUUUUUCUAGAAGAAGCAAAACCAUUACAGGGUGAUGUGCUAGUAACCUCUCCCCUGUAUGAUGCUAAACCACACUGUUUCAGGAAAAGAGAAGAAGGAACACUUGCUUCAUUGAAACCACAAAGUCCAGGGAUUCCUGACUACAAGAGACAUUAAGAACUGACCCUGGUGAAGAAACAAAGAAUUAUACACUGGCAGGAAGAAACUUGUGGGACCCAUGCUUGGGAAUGUGGUAUAGUACUACACCAAAAAGAAAUGUAUUAGGAUAUCAAUGAACUGUGAUUAACACUACACUAGGGACUGUUAAAUUUUCAUUACCCUUAUCCAGUUUCCAGAUUACCUCUACAUACCCAAAUUGCUCACAGGGGGCUGCCAUUAGAUUAGCACAACAGAGGGCUUGGGUUAUUUCUUCUAGAAAGAAGAGAGACUUGACCGGAUCCCUGUGGGAUGGGGCCAAUAAUGCAGUAGCAGUCUGGAAUAUUUUUAAGAACCAGGAACAUGAUGAGAAAUUGGGCCAACUAGAGAAGGCCAUAGGCCUUGUUUCUGGAGCACAACUAACCCAGGUACAGGCUGGAGUUGGUGAGUUACAUGUUAUUUCUGCCCUUAGUUCAAUGACCCAGAAGUUGCUGACAGAGAUGGUAUUGAAUAUCACUGAGGCUGGGAAGGCAUUGCAGUGGGAUCUAGCAUGCUCAGAGAUUCAGGAUUUCUUGAAUGACCAGCUAAUGGCCAUUCGGAAUGAUCUAGAGCACCAGGCUUGGCCCACUGCCCUUACAGACACGUUAGGAGUACCAUCUGAUCUGUGGCCAUGGAGACAUACUUGGAAACUUUCUGGGUGGAAGUGUGGACGUUCUCAGUGCUCCUUCCAAGCAUAUGGACCGGUUCAGGGGGUGUGGGCUCCCACAUACCGAAUCCUGCCGGGUCCAUGGGGAGGAUGCAUGUGGGAUUGGGUAAUUCACCGAGACAUCUGGGAAAUUAGACCUCCUGGUAUGCCCAAUCGAUUUUUAGUCAGUGCUCCUGGGAUUACAUCUGACAUUUGGGUGGGGUUAGGGAGACAAUGGACAUUUUGGCCGUUACAACCCCCACAGCUUCAGUGUAUCCGUAAACUGAAGCCAGGAGAAGUUGUUACUCUUCAUGACUACAUUUGCUGGGAGGGUAGGGGACAAGGAACUACCCUGACAGGACACUUAUUUUUUUAAGCUAAUGAUAGCUGUGUGUAUGUUAAAGCCACUACAUUGCAAGACAUACAUUUUAAUCUCACUACCACUGCAGGCAAUCAUAUCAUUUAUUGGCCUGCAGAUAGAGUUUUUCAAGUAGCCCUUAGGUUCCAGAUACCCUUUAAUUGGACUAGCUUACUAUCUGAUAGAUUUCAAAAUUUGCUUUCAUUGUUACCUGAGAUUCAGAAAAUCUCUGAGGUACAAGGGCAAAUUCACAUGCUUCAAAAUGUAUAUCAAGUAGAAAAGUAUGCCUUUCACACUGCUUAUAGAGUAGCUACCUUAUGUACUAAAUAUGAUGUAUUGUGCUUUAUGACAAAGGCUGUACAACAACCCCAUUAUAGUAUUGCUAUGGGAAUGUUAUUGCUUGUAUUGUUAUUAGUUAGUUUAGGAUUAUCUUAUUGUUGUUGUAAAAGACGUAAUAAUAGUAAUACCUUUCAUGUUCAUGCUAAUCAUGCAUUGUCAUUGCAUCCAAUCAAAACCCCUAAGGUUGAAGCAUCUGAUUUAGAAUCAGAAGUCCAGGACUUGAUGCAAAUAGAGAUUUGAGAAUGUUUGUUGUACUAGAAGUACAAAAGGGGGGGUUGUGGAAGCAGAGAAAAGAACUGACAGAAGGGAACUGUAAUGCAUGACGUUUGUUAGCAAGAGUCAGGCUAACUGUAACCCUGAUAACGCGAGGUUUGUAGAAGCGAGGAUUGUGUGAGGCGGGUGAGAAAGAGCUGUGUAAGAAGUUAUGAUGACCUCAGCAUAGAUAAAGUGUAGAAGACCUUGGGUAGAUAAGGUAUAGAAAAUAAUUGUAUGUUGGCAAGAGUCAAAACAACUGAGGAAAUGAGAUAUCAAGAUGGCCUAUGUAUAAACAAAAAUGCUGCUGUCCCUCAUUAUUUUUGUAAUGAAAGGUAUAAAUGCUUGCUGUAAUUAGUUACCAGGGAGAGAGACCUGUUUGCUCUCCCUCUGCACAUGUGAGAGUUAAUAAAGCUCUGACUUGCUGUACCUAAA